CCCCUCUCAGGAUCACAACUGGAGAGUUUCCAGUACUUUACCAGUCUCGACUACAGGCGGGAGAGUCAAGCAGAGAGAGGCAUAUCCAUUCCAUUCCUAGCUUGAGCAGUGGCUAGCGAGUGGGAAACAAUCUGCUGCAAGU